rnacentral:tRNA from 1 species
GGGCGCGUAGCUCAGCGGCAGAGCAUCUGACUUUUAAUCAGAGGGUCGCGGGUUCGAUCCCCGCCGCGCUCACCA